GACGAACGCUGGCGGCAGGCCUAACACAUGCAAGUCGGACGAGCGGCGGACGGGAGUGUAAGGUAUGGGGAUCUGCCUGAUGGCGGGGGAUAACUAGUGGAAACGGUAGCAAAUAACGCAUAACAGCAGAUGAACCCAUAUGGGAGUAGCUAGGAGGUAAGGGAAAGGCAUACUCAGGCGACGAUCCCUAGCUGGUCUGAGAGGAUGAUGAGCCACACGGGGACUGAAACACGGCCCAGACUCCUACGGGAGGCAGCAGUGGUGAAUAUUGCACAGUGGGCGAAAGCCUGAUGCAGCGACGCCGCGUGGGGGAGGAAGGCUUGGGGGUUGUAAACCUCGUGCGCUAUCGAACGGGUAGGUGGAGAAGAAGCGCCGGCUAACUACGUGCCAGCCGCCGCGGUAAUUC
rnacentral:rRNA from 1 species